GGGUAAAUCAAGCCGUUGCUUCUAGGUAGAUUAUUAGUGGUAGCAGUUGGGUUAGGGAUGGUGGUGCUAACGGGGAGUUUCCUUUUGUUGACAUGUUAAUUUCAGUGCCCACAUUUACCAGGCUGAAACCCAGGGGAAGGAUUUAGCAGAUGAUAUUUAUCUCCUAGAAAUCACCACGAGACCUUCUCAGAAGUGUUUUGUAAGAAGAAGCCAAAAGACUGAACCCUUGAGUGAUCUGUGGCCCAUUGUUCCACAAAGACUCUUCU
rnacentral:lncRNA from 1 species